rnacentral:sRNA from 1 species
CCUCUAUCCCGGGCCUUGUACACACCGCCCGUCACAUCACGACUGUCGGUUGCACUAGAAGUCGGUGGGCUAACCCGCAAGGGAGGCAGCCGCCUAAAGUGUGAUCGGUAAUUGGCGUGAAGUCGUAACAAGGUAGCUGUAGGAGAACCUGCGGCUGGAUCACCUCCUUUCUAAGGAGCACUUCCGCCUCGGAUCAAAACGAGGUCGCGAUGCUGCAACCUAGGUCGAGAGGAAUCGGCUCGCGCCGCAAGGCGCUGAGCGAGCGUUUCCCUUCUUGUCUUUCCUCUUCAGUUUUCAGGGCAUCGGCGCCCGACGUUUCUUUGACAAUUGAAUAUGGGUAAGUAAAGAGAUGCACGAGAUGUCUCGAAGAAGAGACGUCUAGCUGCAGAUCGCAUGAGAUCAAGGCACUUUAUGGUCAAGUUACUAAGGGUUGACGGUGGAUACCUAGGCACACAGAGA